GGAAAACCCAGCUAGAAGAAAGAGGCUUGCCCAGUUCUCCUAAUGAUUGGAGCAGAGCUGACACGCCAAGGGCGUUUUCUUGCGGUUAUUUUAAGGAAGCCACCUGAAAUCUAAGACACUGUCCAUGUGAUCAGUGGCUUCAGUUCGAAUGUUCCUCGGGGUCAGAUCCUGGCCCGGAGCCUUUAACAUGUGACCACGGGGUUGUGUUGAGCCCACAAUUAUCCAAUUUAAAGCAAUGUAAAAGACGUAGAACCAAACUACUGAGGGUGGCACAUUCAGUCCUGGGAGAGGGACAGAGAAAACAGGUGGGGCAUUCACGGUGGUCCCUGGAGCUUCAGCCACUCCAGAGGGUUCUGGAAGGCUCCAUUGCCCACUCUCCUCUUUCCACACCCCCACCUCCACAACCUGUACUCCUCUCUGCCAGGAGCCUUGUCCUAGGCUUCAGGGUGGGAGAAGUCUCCGGUCCUGCCCCAUUCCCACGGCCUCACCCCACUGACCUCCUCACUACCUUUCCCCUCUCCAAAUCCGAAAAGGCUCUCCCAUUGCCAGGACACUGAAGAAUGGGAGACCCGCCAUACAGUCCUGUCCUCAAGGAGCCUGUGGCUCAGGGAGAGGAGAGAAGGUCAGAGCUGCGCAGAGCUGGCGGUGCUUCCCCAUGGGAUGCAAUGCUGGUAGCUUUAAACCAGCUACGGUAGAAGUAUUAACACCACAGAAGUCAAGAGAGGCCUUUUCUCUGCAGAGAGCUGAUUGUUAAACAUUGACCAGCACACGUCUGCUGACACACCUGCGGCUUCUCCUGCUGUGGGUGGUCCUGAGGGCAGUGUUAGCUGGAGCUGCCUGAGGAAGCUUCAGAGGCAGAUGCAGUCUGACCUGAGCCAUGAAGAAGUGCAGAGUCCCCAAGAGGCCAGAGAGCUCACGUCUGGUUAGAGUCGGGGUGUUUGAUGGGAAGAUGAAAGGAGGAGCUGGCAUCUGAGCUGUGACAAGGCUGCCUGAGGCUUUUGGUCAGAAAAAGAUGCCAGCUUUAAAAAAUCUCUGCAGAAGUUUUCUCAGAAGAAUCGCAGAAUCUUGGAGCAGGAAGAAGCUUCCAGAAGACUUAAUUUUAUCCAAUUUCUUCACGGCGGAUGAAGGCACACGGAGCCCACAGUAUGGAAAGAGUGUGCCUCAGGAAACAGAGCUGAACACUUGCUCUUUUCAUGUUUUCCUCUUUUAUCUGGACCUUGGCCCCCCGGGUAGGAGGCACCUGGGGCUGGCUGAGGCACAGGAUGAGUGGAGAGGAAGGCUCUGUGGGAGCCACUCCCAUAGCCCAGAUUUAGCAGAGAUUCCGUUCGGAAGGAUUCUGGCGAAACAGCGUGAGUUGACAACUCUGCUUCUGAAUAGUACAUUAUUUAUUCAGUGCCAGCCACGAGCCCGGCAGGUGAUGAGCUAAACUAAACUUGCUGGCACACACACGCAGAACUCAGGAACAGCAGAGUGAUGGCAGCCUCAUCUCAAAGUGGCUCCUUCAAGGAGGAGGACUAAGAGUGUUAAGGCCUCUCCUUGGUGUCUGCUGUCCACGAGCACAGCCCUGUCUUCAGAGCCAGGGGAUCAGGAAACAGCAUGGGUCAUGUUGAGAGACACAAGCUCACCUCUGCCCACAGGACGAAACAGCCUGGCGGGCACAGGCCUCACAUCCAACUCCUGGGGGUCCCUAGCCUGCCCUCCCUGACCCUCCAUCCUCACCCAGAUCCUCCGCUGCUCCCCGGGAGCCCUCGGCUUGCACAGCUUUCACCUGGGCUGGGAAAGUCUCUCUUCUGCACACUCGCUGCCAUGUUUGCCAAGCACCAGACCUUUAAGUACCAUGUACCAUUUUUUUUUCAUAUCUGCAUACCACAUGUACUGUUAUUUGCUUGUUAGUUUUCUUUAGAGUGACUCUCUUUAUAUUAAUUGAUUUUACAAGUGAAACGAAAUGAUGAAAACCAGAAUCACUUGCUAUAAAUAGACGAUGCCUGAGUAACGGAAUACAAUAAAAACAAAAUACUAUCAUUUUAGCUCAAUAUCGUUGUCUUCCAAAGAUCCAGGCUUGAGACCUGCCCUGUGUUUACUGAAUGGAAUAUCACCAUCUGUUCAAGAUGUACCAAUGAGACUUUCUUUUUAAAGUACACUAAAGAAACCAAAGAGAAUUGAAAAGGGCAAAAAUCUUCUUACUCUGUGAUUUAAUGCUAUUCAACGUUGUGUCUGUAUCUACCUCAAAUCAUUUCUCCUCCCUCCUGUGGCCCAUAUUUCAUGCUUUGAUAAUCACAGUUCUGCCCAAAUCCUGACUUGUUUUUAAAGACCAGCUAAAAGGUUCUACUGCCUCCAAA
rnacentral:lncRNA from 1 species